rnacentral:rRNA from 1 species
AGAGUUUGAUCAUGGCUCAGAACGAACGCUGGCGGCAUGCCUAACACAUGCAAGUCGAACGGAACUUUGGUUCAGUGGCGGACGGGUGAGUAACGCGUAGGAACCUGCCGAGUAGUGGGGAAUAACAGCUGGAAACGGCUGCUAAUACCGCAUACGCCCUUCGGGGGAAAGAUUUAUCGCUAUUUGAGGGUCCUGCGUUCGAUUAGCUUGUUGGCGGGGUAACGGCCCACCAAGGCAACGAUCGAUAGCUGGUCUGAGAGGAUGAUCAGCCACACUGGGACUGAGACACGGCCCAGACUCCUACGGGAGGCAGCAGUGGGGAAUAUUGGACAAUGGGGGAAACCCUGAUCCAGCAAUGCCGCGUGCGUGAAGAAGGCCUUAGGGUUGUAAAGCGCUUUCACCUGCGAUGAUGAUGACAGUAGCAGGAGAAGAAGCCCCGGCUAACUCCGUGCCAGCAGCCGCGGUAAUACGGAGGGGGCUAGCGUUGUUCGGAAUCACUGGGCGUAAAGGGCGUGUAGGCGGCGGAUUUAGUUAGGCGUGAAAGCCCCGGGCUCAACCUGGGAACUGCGCUUAAUACUGGUCUGCUAGAGUCCGGGAGAGGCGAGUGAAAUAUCCAGUGUAGAGGUGAAAUUCGUAGAUAUUGGAUGGAACACCGAUGGCGAAAGCAGCUCGCUGGACCGGAACUGACGCUGAGCGCGAAAGCGUGGGAGCAAACAGGAUUAGAUACCCUGUAGUCCACGCUGUAAACGAUGUUCACUAGACGUCGGGGGUUAGGCCUUCGGUGUCGCAGCUAACGCAUUAAGUGAACCGCCUGGGGAGUACGGGCCGCAAGGUUAAAAC